rnacentral:rRNA from 1 species
UACGUAGGGAGCAAGCGUUGUCCGGAAUCAUUGGGCGUAAAGAGCGCGUAGGCGGCCCGGUAAGUCCGCUCUGAAAGUCAAAGGCUCAACCUUUGAAAGCGGGUGGAUACUGCCGGGCUAGAGUCCGGAAGAGGCGAGUGGAAUUCCCUGGUGUAGCGGUGGAAUGCGCAGACAUCAGGAGGAACACCAACGGCGAAGGCAGCUCGCUGGGACGGUACUGACGCUGAGGCGCGAAAGCGUGGGGAGCGAACAGG